GUACUAGUUUGGAACUGUAUCUAACUGAUACUAUACAAAAUUUCAGCAGAUCGACAGGGGUGCGGGGUUCAGUUCGACGAUGACGAGCCAGGCAGCCGGCCUUUGCAUCAUGAACUGGCGUAGUUUGAUCUUGCCCGGUGCUGGCCCUGCACAAAUGGCAUCUUCAGCUCACCACGCUAGCUCCGCCGAUCAUCUUACAUGUCAAGCACCAGACCGACACCACGGCUUCUGCUGGUGGUGCUAGUGUGGAUGUUUAGCAAGUUCAACUACCAGUCUACACCGAGUUCAGCAGUGUAGUUUGCUUCCUUUAAAAUUCAGUUAGUUCACCUCGGCCAGCAACUCCCGCGCCAAAGCCGCUGUAAGGGCGUACAGGACGGCGACAUGUUCGAGGACUGCGACUGGUGGUAGAUACAACUAAAUUCAGGAUGUUCUUAUGCUCUUUUCUUUUUAAGUGCGUUCAAUAAAGUCAUCUUGAAAAUGCUAAAAGAGAAUUGCAGUCUUCUCCCUCAACAAAAGUUUGGAUUCUAAAGGCCAUUGAUAAAAAAGCUCCGGACGCCUCCCUUCGAGAUCCGGCCGCCUUCCCCCUGAGGUCCCAUGGACGCACCGCCGCCGCCCAACCCCUCCUUCCGCAAGGUAACGCUCUGGGCCGCCCUCCUAGCCGCGGUGGCCCUGCUGGCCGUUGGCGGCGGAAGCUGGGUGGCGGGUGCUGGCAUGCUUCUUCUCCGGCAAGGACGCCAUGCUACACCGGCGCCGCCACACAUCUUCGGUUCUCGCUAGUAUAUUUCCUGUAGCAGUUCUUCAGUGCACACAAAAAAGACUAGCAUUUCAAUUACUAUCAAUUACUAAUUUCUUCAGUUCAGUUCAAUUACUGAAA